rnacentral:lncRNA from 1 species
AACAAAACAGUUAUGGCUCAACCAAACCGAGGAAGUCUUACAAGAUGGUCAAAUUCCAGAUUUGAUGCAUAGUGAGGAUGAAAUAGCAGAAAAAAACUUGGAAAGAAGGAUGAAAGAGCUAAAGGCAUUGAUAAUGCAAAUGAUAGUCAAAUCGCAAUAGAAUGCACAAAUUCAGAAACAAAAAAGUCAUCAGAAGGAAAUAUCAAGACCAUAGAUCCAUGAGGAAGCUUGUAUAUUGAUGAGAUUCAACUAUUGAGUGAAG